rnacentral:lncRNA from 12 species
CGGCACGUCCAGUGACGUCACUAAGGCCUUAAGGCGCGCGUCAUGACGUCACCGACGCGGGCCCUGACGUCACGCGUCCCCCCCGAGCCCGGCGGGGCCGAGGCUCGGGCGCGGUUCCGAAUCGCGCGGUUCAUCAUGGAGGCGGGUGUGAAGCUGGGGCUGGGCUCAGGUCAGUCACUCCCCAGGUGUGACCCAGGUGUGACCCAGGUGACACUCACCUGUCCCCAGGUGUGAAGCUGGGGCUGGGCUCAG